CAGCAAGGAACACCUGCUGUGUCUGCUGUCCCCAGCACUGUGUCCAGCUUCAGAAUGGUGACGGUGAAGAAGAUGGAGACAAGCAUAUGUUAAGCAUUUACUAUGAGCCAAGUGUUCCACUCAACGUUUUUCAUGGAUUAUUUCAUUCAAUCUAUAAAACAGCUCUCUAAGGUUUAUAUGAUCACACUGUUUCAUUGAGAAAUGUAAAUUUUUGUCAUCAUUAGCAUUUCUCCUAAGCAGAGAUCCUGACCAUAUAUUAUGUCAAUUUAUCUCAGACUGCUAGGUGCUGAGCUCUGGCAUAUGGUAGUUGAAAACACACAGCUUCCCCACAAAUGCUACUGAGAGACCAGAGCUGCCCACCUGACUAGGGAGAGCAGGAGGCAUGGCAGCUGACCAGUUGGCACUGGAUGAAGGCGGUGAAAAGUAGGAGAGGAAUGAUUCAAGAGCAGUCUUGAUGGCAUCAGAGAGGACAUGAAAGAAAUUGGCCCCAUGGUGACAGCUACUAAUACUGAAAUCAAAGUCUGGUGCUAAACUGUAGGCUUCUCAGAA